UACGUAGGUGGCAAGCGUUGUCCGGAAUUAUUGGGCGUAAAGCGCGCGCAGGCGGUCCUUUAAGUCUGAUGUGAAAGCCCACGGCUCAACCGUGGAGGGUCAUUGGAAACUGGGGGACUUGAGUGCAGGAGAGAAAAGUGGAAUUCCACGUGUAGCGGUGAAAUGCGUAGAGAUUUGGAGGAACACCAGUGGCGAAGGCGACUUUCUGGUCUGUAACUGACACUGAGGCGCGAAAGCGUGGGGAGCGAACAGG
rnacentral:rRNA from 1 species